rnacentral:tRNA from 1 species
GCCUCCGUAGCUCAGUUGAUAGAGCGUUUGCCUCGUAAGCAAAAGGUCACGGGUUUGACCCCCGUCGGAGGCU